rnacentral:rRNA from 1 species
CCGGCGACCGGCGCACGGUGAGUAACACGUAUGGAACCUGCCCGCAGCAGGGGGAUAAGCGGAAGAAAUUCCGUCUAAUACCGCGUAACAACGUUGGGAGGCAUCUCCCGAUGUUUAAAGAUUUAUCGGCUGCGGAUGGCCAUGCGGCGCAUUAGCUAGUCGGCGGGGUAACGGCCCACCGAGGCGACGAUGCGUAGGGGUUCUGAGAGGAAGGUCCCCCACACUGGUACUGAGACACGGACCAGACUCCUACGGGAGGCAGCAG